rnacentral:tRNA from 1 species
UCUUUUAAAGUAAAUAUAUUACAUUUAAUUUCGACUUAAAAAUUUUGAUUAAAAUCUAAUCUAAAAGAA